AGGACGAACGCUGGCGGCGCGCUUAACACAUGCAAGUCGAGCGAGAACCGGGGCUUCGGCCCCGGGGACAGCGGCGAACGGGUGAGUAACACGUGGAUAACCUGCCCUCGGCACCGGGAUAGCCCGGGGAAACCCGGAUUAAUACCGGAUGGCCCUUCCGACUUUCGAGUCGGUCGGCAAAGGUAGCUUCGGCCUCCGGCCGAGGAUGGGUCCGCGGCGGAUUAGCUUGUUGGUGGGGUAAUGGCCUACCAAGGCUCCGAUCCGUAGCUGGUCUGAGAGGACGAUCAGCCACACUGGGACUGAGACACGGCCCAGACUCCUACGGGAGCAGCAGGUGGGAAUCUUGCGCAAGUGGGACGAAAGCC
rnacentral:rRNA from 1 species